GAGGGUAUAGCUCAGUGGUAGAGCGCAUGCUUAGCAUGCAUGAAGUCCUGGGUUCAAGCCCCAGUAUUUACA
rnacentral:tRNA from 1 species